GCGCGGUUAGUAUAGUGGUCAGUACUCUCGUUCCCCAAACGAGCGACCCGGGUUCGAUUCCCGGACUGCGCA
rnacentral:tRNA from 1 species